rnacentral:rRNA from 1 species
AUUGAACGCUGGCGGCAGGCCUAACACAUGCAAGUCGAGCGGAUGAAGGGAGCUUGCUCCUGGAUUCAGCGGCGGACGGGUGAGUAAUGCCUAGGAAUCUGCCUGGUAGUGGGGGAUAACGUCCGGAAACGGGCGCUAAUACCGCAUACGUCCUGAGGGAGAAAGUGGGGGAUCUUCGGACCUCACGCUAUCAGAUGAGCCUAGGUCGGAUUAGCUAGUUGGUGGGGUAAAGGCCUACCAAGGCGACGAUCCGUAACUGGUCUGAGAGGAUGAUCAGUCACACUGGAACUGAGACACGGUCCAGACUCCUACGGGAGGCAGCAGUGGGGAAUAUUGGACAAUGGGCGAAAGCCUGAUCCAGCCAUGCCGCGUGUGUGAAGAAGGUCUUCGGAUUGUAAAGCACUUUAAGUUGAGAGGAAGGGCAGUAAGUUAAUACCUUGCUGAUUUGACGUUACCAACAGAAUAAGCACCGGCUAACUUCGUG